rnacentral:rRNA from 1 species
AUUCCAGCUCCAAUAGCGUACAUUAAAGUUGUUGUGGUUAAAAAGCUCGUAGUUGGAUCUCAACAGCCUUGAAGCGGUUAACUUUGUAGUUUUACUGCUUUAUAGGCUGUGCUUUUGCUGGAGGUUUAGGGGUGCUCUUAACCGAGUGUCUUGCGAUGCUGGCAGGUUUACUUUGAAAAAAUUAGAGUGCUCAAAGCAGGCUUUUACGCCUGAAUAUUCGUGCAUGGAAUAAUAGAAUAGGAAGUCGUUUCUAUUUUGUUGGUUUUCGGAAAUCGACUUAAUGAUUAAUAGGGACAGUCGGGGGCAUUUGUAUUCAAACGACAGAGGUGAAAUUCUUGGACCGUUUGAAGACAAACUACUGCGAAAGCAUUUGCCAAGAAUGUUUUCAUUA